rnacentral:rRNA from 1 species
GGCCCGGCUGAGUGGUCUUGCCUUCGUUGUAAGCACUGCUCCGGUUGGGUCUUUCCUUCUGGCUAACCAGCUGCCUUUUACUGGGUCGGCUUGGGGAUCCAGGACUUUUACUUUGAAAAAAUUAGAGUGUUCAAAGCGGGCGUCAAAGCUUGAAUACAUUAGCAUGGAAUAAUAGAAUAGGACUUUGGUUCUAUUUUGUUGGCUUCUAGGACCGAAGUA